UACAGAGGUCCCAAGCGUUGUUCGGAUUCACUGGGCGUAAAGGGUGCGUAGGUGGCAAGGUAAGUUUGAUGUGAAGUCUCCGGGCUUAACCCGGAAACUGCAUUGAAUACUAUCUUGCUUGAGGGUUGGAGGGGGGACUGGAAUUCUUGGUGUAGCAGUGAAAUGCGUAGAUAUCAAGAGGAACACCAGUGGCGAAGGCGAGUCCCUGGACAACUCCUGACACUGAGGCACGAAAGCUAGGGGAGCAAACAGG
rnacentral:rRNA from 1 species